AGUCAAUAGAUACCCUGGUAGUCCACGCCGUAAACGAUGAGUACUAGGUGUAGGAGGUAUCGACUCCUUCUGUGCCGCAGUUAACACAAUAAGUACUCCGCCUGGGAAGUACGGUCACAAGAUUAAAACUCAAAGGAAUUGACGGGGGCCCGCACAAGCAGCGGAGCAUGUGGUUUAAUUCGAAGCAACGCGAAGAACCUUACCUAGACUUGACAUCUCCUGAAUAGUGUAGAGAUACAAUGAAGGCCCUUCGGGGCAGGAAGACAGGUGGUGCAUGGUUGUCGUCAGCUCGUGUCGUGAGA
rnacentral:rRNA from 1 species